CGAGUUGACCAGGCAGUCGCUGUGCUGAUUUCUCCGUUAUUCGCUUGCGUUUAAAGGGGUGCUGCAUAGAGGAAAGUCCGGGCUCCACAGGGUAGAGUGCCAGGUAACGCCUGGGAGGCGCGAGCCUACGGAAAGUGCAACAGAAAGGAUACCGCCUGGUUCGCCAGGUAAGGGUGAAAAGGUGCGCGGUAAGAGCGCACCGCGCGACUGGUAACAGUUCGUGGCUAGGCAAACCCCACUCGGAGCAAGACCAAAUAGGUUUCCUUUGGCGCGACCCGCGCUGGAAACGGGUAGGUUGCUUGAGGCAAACGGUGACGUUUGUCCCAGAUGAAUGACUGUCCACGACAGAACCCGGCUUAUCGGUCAACUCACUAA
rnacentral:RNase_P_RNA from 1 species